ACAAUACAGGGCAUUCAUGUCUUGUUAUUGGAAUGAGUAAAAUUUAAAUCCCUUUACGAGUAUCAAUUGGAGGGCAAGUCUGGUGCCAGCAGCCGCGGUAAUUCCAGCUCCAAUAGCGUAUAUUAAAGUUGUUGCAGUUAAAAAGCUCGUAGUUGGAUUUCUG
rnacentral:rRNA from 1 species